AUUGAACGCUGGCGGCAGGCCUAACACAUGCAAGUCGAACGAGUGGCGGACGGGUGAGUAAUGUCUGGGAACCUGCCUGAUGGAGGGGGAUAACUACUGGAACCGGUAGCUAAUACCGCAUACCAUCAGAUGUGCCCAGAUGGGAGUAGCUUGUUGGUGGGGUAACGGCUCACCAAGUCGACGAUCCCUAGCUGGACUGAGAGGAUGACCAGCCACACUGGAACGGAUACACGGUCCAGACUCCGACGUGAGGCAGCAGGGGGGAAUAUUGCACAAUGGGCGCAAGCCUGAUGCAGCCAUGCCGCGUGUAUGAAGAAGGCCUUCGGGUUGUAAAGUACUUUCAGCGGGGAGGCGUUACCCGCAGAAGAAGCACCGGCUAACUCCGUGCCAGCAGCCGCGGUAAUUC
rnacentral:rRNA from 1 species